rnacentral:tRNA from 1 species
GCGCCGCUAGCUCAACUGGCAGAGCAACUGACUCUUAAUCAGUAGGUUCUAGGUUCGAUUCCUAGGCGGCGCACCA